AAGAUGCUAGAGGGAUAAAGAUUAAGAAAAAACUCUAAAAUAUAACGAUUGGGAAUCUAAUUGAAAUACGGUGUUGAAAACUUGCCCUUGUGAGCAAGGAUCCUAAUGUGUUUCAUGUGAUGCCCACCUGGGAGACUGGGUUUUAUCGUUAACUGUCCUUCUAGCAUUUAU
rnacentral:other from 1 species